rnacentral:tRNA from 10 species
GGCUCAGUAGCUCAGUGGUAGAGCAGGGGACUCAUAAGCCCUUGGUCACGUGUUCAAAUCACGUCUGAGCCA